UUCUAUAGUAAACUUUGCAUGCAGUUUCAACUCCCAGACGCUAGAUGACGCUACUGUACAGACUAGGUUGUGUUGCCUUAGCCCGGAAGUGGUCUCUACCAUUCAUUCUACCAGAAUGACGUCCACAGCACCCGAGGAUCUAGUGAGAUGACGCCAGCUGCUGCGAGUUCAAUAUGAGGAACAAAUACCACCGGUUGUUGCUUGUCGUGCAACCUCCCGCGCGGCCUCCAGGUGACGCAGCAUGAUGUCACAGCCCUGGUCGCUCACCUCCCAGAGCUCCGCCCCCUCCGGCGUGACGGACGGGCGCUCCAUCAACGUGAGGAGGGGCAACAUGAGGGGCACGCAGACCACCUGAGGAGAGGAGGCUGCGAGGGACGAAGGAAGAAACAUUAGUUCUAGAGCUUUCAUCAGGGCGGUGAAAGCAAACAGAUCGCCCACAGCGUCCUUCAGCUCCAAUGCCACCAGGAUGAUGCGAUUCAAAGUGGAUGCCCGCUCCUCCACGCUGCCAGUACACCCCAGGAUGUCCACGGCCACACCGAUGGCCAUGGUGUGGUGUCUGUGGGAGGAAGCACGUCCAGCCUCAGCUGUCGACCAUGCGGCAAGGUGACCAGCUCCAGACCCGAAGACACGCCCAUCUGACCUUUCAACUCAGGGGACACUCCAAGUAUUCUUGCAACCUAGAAAACAAAAAGAACCGUGUUUGAUCAUGCACCUGCACUUUCUUUGUGUCGUCAGACAUUUUUGAAAAAUCUCCAGAGAGCCACCAGGGCGGCGCUAAAAAGCCGCGGGUUGCCGACCCCCGUCUUAAGAGAAAGAGAUUGCAGCUAUUUGGGAUACAACACUUCUCAGACGGCAAGAGAACUUUCCAAUGUCCAGGUCUGCUGUGAUUCUUACCGAAAAACUUUGUCCAUUUUUCGAAGGAGAGUCAACCAGAAUGCGGGCUCCCCUGGAUGUGAUAAAAAAAAACGGUAGCGUGUGCUUUGUAUUACCUGGCAGACGAGGAAAACGGCGAAGUCAUUUGUCAUUUGACAUCAGUAUUGUCCGCCGUGUAUGUCACGGACUCAACGUCUAGGUCCAGAGUUUAUAAAGUCACCAAAAAGGAUUGGACCAGAGAGCCUACUGACCAACUAGAGCCUGCAGUGCCUCAGACUGGAAGUCGAUAACGGGAGUGGUGAGGACGGCGAAACAGAUCAUCAAGACUCUGUAACGUAUUAUUUUCGGGUCUCCCCAUGUCUAGCAUUAAAAGAUUACAGUUGGUACAAAAUGCGGCUGCUAGACUUUUGACAAGAACAAGAAAGUUUGAUCACAUUACACCUGUACUGUAUAUACCUUUAUAUACAUAUAUACAU